AUUGAACGCUGGCGGCAGGCCUAACACAUGCAAGUCGAACGCGUGGCGGACGGGUGAGUAAUGUCUGGGAAACUGCCUGAUGGAGGGGGAUAACUCCUGGAAACGGUAGCUAAUACCGCAUACCAUCAGCUUUGCCCAGAUGGGAUUAGCUUGUUGGUGGGGUAACGGCUCACAAAGGCCACGAUCCCUAGCUCGUCUGAGAGGAUGACCAGCGACAAUGGAACUGAGACACGGUCCAGACUCCUACGGGAGGCAGCAGUGGGGAAUAUUGCACAAUGGGCGCAAGCCUGAUGCAGCCAUGCCGCGUGUAUGAAGAAGGCCUUCGGGUUGUAAAGUACUUUCAGCGGGGAGGCGUUACCCGCAGAAGAAGCAACGGCUAACUCCGUGCCAGGAGCCGCGGUAAUUC
rnacentral:rRNA from 1 species